UACCCAAUUAUAAUACCCGUCACGUUUAUCGAUCUCUACACUCCUGUAUAUUGUAUUGAUUAAGUAUUUAUAAAACAUGUUCAAACGUUUUACUUAACUUUAAGGAUUUUGAGAUUUCGCCAAUACCAGUAUAGUUAAACAAGCAAACUACGCAGUGUAACACUCGUUAUCUGAUGUCAAUUCAACACAUCGCUUUUUAUUAAAAUUUAAAAGUCGCAUCGAUUAACCCUGAGAAAAAUAUCGAACACUGUGUGGACUGGGCAUAUGGAACACCCGGACAUUAAUUGUAUUCACUGAUAAAAAAUCUGGGACACAGACAGACGAAUCCCCAUUUCAAACGAGAUCAUAUCAAGAUGAAAGGGUUAAAGAGAAGAUCUUCAUCAGGUCUCAAUAGCAAUUCCUAUAGGGUCCCUACAAAACAGAGAGGAGUUGACGAUUCAGAUUCGGAUACAGUUUCAGUCGCCUCCGAAGACUCUGGGAAAAGACCGCCGCGUAUGAGACGUAUGGUUACAAGGAAAAAUAGUUCCGGAAACGAAAAACCCUCUAUGCCAAAUAGACAGAGCACUAUGGGAGGAGUUGUAACCGCUUUUUUGGCACUUAGAUCUAGAACUAUUGUUAAAGAGACAAUUGAAGAGGAACCCCCUCCACCUCCACCUAGAAAAAUGUUAAGUGCAAAACGAAGACUUGUAAAGAAAAGUUCUUCCGCGGGUGACAUUUAUCCGUCUGCUGCAGUCUCUUUACGAAGAAAAUUUUCCGAGUCAAGGGCAGCAACUGCUCUGUAUUGAAGAGGAACUAUUAUACGAGGUCUUCCUCUGCUAACGGCAUAGCUACAUUAUAUUUAAUCAAAAUCAAGCUUUCCGUUUAAUGUUAGUGCCAUAUUAGAUAUGAAUGACGGUAUUACGCGUAGAGGCUUUAAGCUUAUAAACAGACACUCGGCAUUUACGGAUUUACUCGAAUUUGUAAAUGAAAAUUGAGAUAUAAACAAAUAACUUGGACAGCCUCACUCGGUCAGUUGACUCAGUAUUCAGGAUACAAGCUAAUGGUUAUUGAUUGGUGAAUUAAUUAUAUUGAUUUUCACUCGAGUUUUUAACUAGCUUGCAUUCAGAAGGAGGACUACAAUGUUUCACUUAUCUGUAACAUAGCAAGCAACAUCGUCUGAAGGAAGUGUCUAGAGGUACGGAUCCGUUCCUCUAGCACACGCCUGAUUGGGGAUUAUCACCGAGUAUGGACCUCCUUUUUCCGCUUAUUGUUGGUUAUUUUCUCGGUUAUUUACGUUUUGAAAUAAAAUGUAAAAAAAAUCAAUUGCUCGAACCAUUUAGAUUCAAGUAUUGGGUAAAUAUCAAUUAAAUCUUAUUUCAUAUUUCAUUGGAUGUAAAUUACCCGACAACAUCUGGAAAAUGGAGGUCCGUAUUCUUAGAGAAUCUUUAAAAGGCUUGCCUAGUGGUACGGAUCCGUAUCUCUAGAAUCAUCUCAACCCAAGACACUUCCUUAUCAGGAAGAAAUGAAUGCAAGCCGAUUUGGACUGAUUGCACUUAAUUAUUAUAACAAUCUAAACUCAUCAUACCACUUGUAUCAUUUAUUUCAUCAACCAUAUAAUUAUGUGUAGCUUGUCGUUAUAAAUGUAACAAGAUAAAUCCUUUCAGGGCCGCUUACUUCGAUCCUGGUUGUGUUCAUUACAUUGUCGGGUGUACGUGUCAAACUCUGUAUAUACUGUUUUUUCGACUUUUAACUCGAUGAAUCAAUAGUAGUUAGUGAAUUAGAAACCUUUAUUCUUUGAACUCUGCCGCCUUAAAAAUCGAUAAACAGUUUUCUACUGAAUUAAAAGUCCUUUUUUUGUUACUUCUUCCGCCUUAAAACUCAUAAAUUAUUGUAUAAUUUCGUGAAUUAGAAACAUUUGUUCUUUCAACAAACUCUCCCUCCUAGCUUAUAAUUUGAUAUAUCGUUGCUAUCUGGUGAAUUAAAAGCCUUUUUUUCUUUGAAUUCUGCCGCCUAUGAACUUGAUAAGUUACACAGUGAAUAUUCAUCAUUUCGUCAUAAGACAGUCCAUUCUGAUAUGGGAAACGUUUAGUCUUCCAACUUUGCCACCUUAAACCUCGAGAAAUUCAUGCAAUGUAUUGUCUGUACACUGCAACAGGUUAACAUAAACAUGUAAAACGAAACACCUUAGAACUCGAGAAUCUAGAAUUCCUUGUAUUGUUUGAAGACUGUUAACAAGAAUAUGAGAAACAUUUCAUCUUUCAACUCUGUCACCUUAAAACUCGAGAAAUGUGUAUUUCUUAUACCAUUUGAAGACUGUAAGCAUAAAUAUGAGAAACAUAUAAUCUUUCAACUCUUUUAAUCUUAAUUUGAUCUAACCCAUUGUAAUGCAGGCAUUUCUCAUGUGAACUGGUCCAGUGUUCAUAAAACAUUUUUCGAUAUCAUUUGAGUUUGAGACUGAAAUUCUAAUAACAAAUUUUACUAGACCUUCAAGCUGAGACUAUCAGUUCUUAGAAUUAGUCGUUAACUUAACCUAUAGUUUUAAACAUGCAGUUUAUAUAUAAAUGACAGAUAACGUUUCAUCAAAUUCAGCCGAGACUGAAAUUGUUUUGUGAACAUGGGUCCAGGACUAUGAAAAAAAGUUUGUGAAUAUAUCUUAUUUUGUCUUAUCUUGAGGUACUGAUAUGAGAAACAUACUAUUGUGAAAAUGUCAUGAAUAUAUAUGCAAAAAAAAAACGAAUAAAAUA
rnacentral:lncRNA from 1 species